rnacentral:rRNA from 1 species
UAAUACGUAGGGGGCGAGCGUUGUCCGGAAUUACUGGGCGUAAAGGGUACGUAGGCGGCUAUAUAAGUCAGGUGUGAAAUACCAGUGCUUAACACUGGAAUUGCAUUUGAAACUGUGUAGCUUGAGUGCAGGAGAGGAAAGUGGAAUUCCUAGUGUAGCGGUGAAAUGCGUAGAGAUUAGGAGGAACACCAGUGGCGAAGGCGACUUUCUGGACUGUAACUGACGCUGAGGUACGAAAGCGUGGGUAGCGAACAGG